CAAGAGCCCAGGAGGGCAGGCCAGGUGGAGCAGGUGCUGACGGCUUAUUCCAAGAGCAUGACAUGCUGCAUUCAGGCAGGAGGCCAUCUGACAGGGGCCUUGCUCCUCUCUGUGGUUGGAGGGAAGAUGAGUGAAGGGAUCACCUUCUCUGAUGACCUCGGCCAGUAGGUGUGUGGUGAUAGUGGGGAUGCCGUACCCCAACCUUAAGUCUCCAGAGUUGCAAGAGAAGACAGCCUACUUGGAUCAGACUCUUGUAUCUGCAGUGUUUCAGAAGAUGAAAGGAAAUGUCUAGGGAGGGAGUGGUGUAGAAAGCCCUGGAUGCAAGGACUGCAUUCCAACAGCAUAUUGUACAGAUGUUCUCAUUCUUCCUCAGAGGUUUUAGAGCAUACCUCUAGCACCCUUGAUCAUCUCUAUAAAAUAUCCUACAGCAUGAGGUAUUGGCUCAGACCCAUGAAACCUGACCUCGAUUCAAAGUCUUGGAUACCAGGCAGGAAAGAGUUGGUUCU